AAUUGUGUAAAGUUGUUUUUAUUAUUAAAAUCGUUUAACGUGUAAUAAUGUUAAUACUAAUAACAUUAUUUAAGAGAUAACACAUAUUUCAUAGUAAAAAUUUGAUUUCUUCUAGUGAAACUGUAGGAAAGAUGUAGAAUUAUCUAUGAGGUUAUCUAGAAGGAGCCAAAGGAUAUUAAUAAAGGAAAAGCAACAAGAAACGUGGUGAAAAGGACCUCUUUCUAGAAACUUUGAAGCUGUGCAUUGAAUAAUACCUAAAAACUAUCUCGGAAACUACUUAACUGAAACUGUAGGAAAGAUCUACAAUUAUCUAGAUUCAUCACUAAUUAUGAGGUUAUCUAGAAGGAGCCAAAGGAUAUUAAUAGAGGAAAAGCAACAAGAAACGUGGUGAAAAGGACCUCUUUCUAGAAUCUUUGAAGCUGUGCAUUGAAUAAUACCCAAAAACUAUCUCGGAAACUACUUAACUGAAACUGUAGGAAAGAUGUAGAAUUAUCUAUGAGGUUAUCUAGAAGGAGCCAAAGGAUAUUAAUAAAGGAAAAGCAACAAGAAACGUGGUGAAAAGGACCUCUUUCUAGAAACUUUGAAGCUGUGCAUUGAAUAAUACCUAAAAACUAUCUCGGAAACUACUUAACGGAAACAGUACAAAGGAUGGACAAUUAUUUAGAUUCAUCACUAAUUGUGAGGUUAUCUAAGAGGAGCCAAAGCCAAAGGAUAUUAAUAGAGGAAACGUCAUGAAGAGGAGCUAGCUCUAGAAUCGUUGAAUCUGUACAUAUUGAAUUCUAAAUAAUACCCAAAAACUGUCUUGGAACCUUCUUAAUUUUCAUAGUAAAAAUUUGGUUUCUACUAGGGAAAUGGUAUGAAGCAAGAACAACUAUCCAGAUUCAUCACUAAUUGUGAGGUUAUUAGAAGGAGUCAAAGAUUAUUGAUAGACGAAAAGUAAUAAGAAACGUGCUUGAUCUAGAAUCGUUGAAGCUGUGCACUGAAUUCUAAAUAAUACCCAAAAACUAUCCUGGAAACUACUUAACGCCUAUCUGAAAGCGAAUCUGUGGAAGAUGUAACAUUUUCUUUGGAAGUGGUUGCUUAUUCUUAUGUCCAAAACAAGAGCUGUAGCUCUUAUGCUACAUCUAGGCAAAUGAAAUAAUUCUUAAAAAACAA